ACGGAAGGCAGCAGUGAGGAAUAUUGGUCAAUGGGCGCAAGCCUGAACCAGCCAAGUAGCGUGAAGGAUGACUGCCCUAUGGGUUGUAAACUUCUUUUAUAUUGGAAUAAAGUGAGCCACGUGUGGUUUUUUGUAUGUACCAUAUGAAUAAGCAUCGGCUAAUUCCGUGCCAGCAGCCGCGGUAAUACGGAAGAUGCGAGCGUUAUCCGGAUUUAUUGGGUUUAAAGGGAGCGUAGGCGGGUCCUUAAGUCAGUGGUCAAAGCGUGUGGCUCAACCAUACCACGCCGUUGAUACUGGGGACCUUGAGUGCACAUAAGGAUGGUGGAAUUCGUCGUGUAGCGGUGAAAUGCUUAGAUAUGACGAAGAACUCCGAUUGCGAAGGCAGCUGUCCGGGGUGUAACUGACGCUAAUGCUCGAAAGUGCGGGGAUCGAACAGGAUUAGAUACCCUGGUA
rnacentral:rRNA from 1 species